GACGAACGCUGGCGGCGUGCUUAACACAUGCAAGUCGAACGGAAAGGCCCUGCUUUUGUGGGGUGCUCGAGUGGCGAACGGGUGAGUAACACGUGAGUAACCUGCCCUUGACUUUGGGAUAACUUCAGGAAACUGGGGCUAAUACCGGAUAGGAGCUCCUGCUGCAUGGUGGGGGUUGGAAAGUUUCGGCGGUUGGGGAUGGACUCGCGGCUUAUCAGCUUGUUGGUGGGGUAGUGGCUUACCAAGGCUUUGACGGGUAGCCGGCCUGAGAGGGUGACCGGCCACAUUGGGACUGAGAUACGGCCCAGACUCCUACGGGAGGCAGCAGUGGGGAAUAUUGCACAAUGGGCGGAAGCCUGAUGCAGCAACGCCGCGUGCGGGAUGACGGCCUUCGGGUUGUAAACCGCUUUCGCCUGUGACGAAGCGUGAGUGACGGUAAUGGGUAAAGAAGCACCGGCUAACUACGUGCCAGCAGCCGCGGUGAUACGUAGGGUGCGAGCGUUGUCCGGAUUUAUUGGGCGUAAAGGGCUCGUAGGUGGUUGAUCGCGUCGGAAGUGUAAUCUUGGGGCUUAACCCUGAGCGUGCUUUCGAUACGGGUUGACUUGAGGAAGGUAGGGGGGAAUGGAAUUCCUGGUGGAGCGGUGGAAUGCGCAGAUAUCAGGAGGAACACCAGUGGCGAAGGCGGUUCUCUGGGCCUUUCCUGACGCUGAGGAGCGAAAGCGUGGGGAGCGAACAGGCUUAGAUACCCUGGUAGUCCACGCUGUAAACGGUGGGUACUAGGUGUGGGGUCCAUUCCACGGGUUCCGUGCCGUAGCUAACGCUUUAAGUACCCCGCCUGGGGAGUACGGCCGCAAGGCUAAAACUCAAAGGAAUUGACGGGGCCCCGCACAAGGGGCGGAGCAUGCGGAUUAAUUCGAUGCAACGCGUAGAACCUUACCUGGGUUUGACAUGGAUCGGGAGUGCUCAGAGAUGGGUGUGCCUCUUUUGGGGUCGGUUCACAGGUGGUGCAUGCCUGUCGUCAGCUCGUGUCGUGAGAUGUUGGGUUAAGUCCCGCAACGAGCGCAACCCUUGUUCACUGUUGCCAGCACGUUAUGGUGGGGACUCAGUGGAGACCGCCGGGGUCAACUCGGAGGAAGGUGGGGAUGACGUCAAGUCAUCAUGCCCCUUAUGUCCAGGGCUUCACGCAUGCUACAAUGGCUGGUACAGAGAGUGGCGAGCCUGUGAGGGUGAGCGAAUCUCGGAAAGCCGGUCUCAGUUCGGAUUGGGGUCUGCAACUCGACCUCAUGAAGUCGGAGUCGCUAGUAAUCGCAGAUCAGCAACGCUGCGGUGAAUACGUUCCCGGG
rnacentral:rRNA from 1 species